ACAGGAAAAUGACCUAUGAAUUGACAGACAAUAUGACUAAGUUUGUCUGUCAUUUCUGUAGGCCAAUAUUCUGU
rfam:Equus caballus chromosome 30, whole genome shotgun sequence.